CUUGCAUCCAUAGCUCAUGGCUAAAGACCUAAACCUUGCUGCAGCAUCAGCAGAAGAAGUUGCUCAAAAAUGUCCAUUGACAUUUCUAGCACAGCACAUAUAUAGAGAGAUCUGCAAGGAUGGUCAUGAAAAUGAAGACUUCUCAUGCGUGUUAUUAUUACUCUGG